rnacentral:misc_RNA from 1 species
UUUCUUUUUCUCCUCACCAAUCAGUUUGCACGCCAAAAAACCACAUCUUUGUCAUUAUAUUUAUCUUUCAAAAUUAGUGCAGGGGUAUUCUAAUUUUUCUAACUCUCUAAAGUACCACCCACUUCCUGAUUAGAGAGAUGUGUUCAUCCUAUCCAUACUGAAUUAAAUUUGCGUGUAAUUGGUCCAAAGCUCAACUGCCUUUACUUCCAACAAGAAACUUGAACCUCUCGUUCCUG